AUACGGAGGGUGCAAGCGUUAUCCGGAUUUACUGGGUUUAAAGGGUACGCAGGCGGUAAUUUAAGUCAGUGGUGAAAGCCUACAGCUCAACUGUAGAACUGCCAUUGAAACUGAAUUACUUGAGUAUGGUAGAGGUAGGCGGAAUACAACAUGUAGCGGUGAAAUGCAUAGAUAUGUUGUAGAACACCGAUUGCGAAGGCAGCUUACUAAACCAUUACUGACGCUCAUGUACGAAAGCGUGGGGAGCGAACAGGAUUAGAAACCCCUGUAGUCC
rnacentral:rRNA from 1 species